ACAGGCUGUUCUGACCAAGUGUCUGUUACAGCCACUGGAGAAUGGCCGGGACACAGAGGACGCCGUGAUCAACAUUGCAGGGUCCAUGGGGCCUCUCACCAUCCCCGAGCCCUCUCCCAGCCUCUUCACAGAGAUCCAGUAUCUAAGCCAGACUACAGAGGAAGAGGAAGCCCCUUCCCAGGCCCCCGAAGGGGACGUGAUCUCGAUGCCUCCCCUCCACACAUCUGAGGAGGAGCUGGGUUUCUCGAAGUGUGUCUCAGUGUAGGGCAGGAGGCCCUCCUGGCCAGACCAGCCGUGAAGCAGUGUGGCUGGCUGGAUCAGCACUGAUUCCCGAAAGCUUUCCACCUCAGCCUCAGAGUCCAGCUGCCCGGAAUCCAGGCUCUCCCAACCCUCCCCAGGCUCUCCUCCUGCAUGCUCCAGCCUGACCUAGAAGUGUUCAUCAGCCCUGGAGCUCAGAGCGGUGGCCUUGACUUUCCAGCUGGAGACUGGGACAUCCCUGAUAGGUUCACAUCCCUGGGCAGGGCACCAGGAUGCUGACCCUCAGCAGGGCCAGGCAAGGCUCAGUGGAUCUGUUCUGAGUUUCUAUCUGCCACAAACUCUCCUGGGCCUCACGCCCAGUGUCGGACCCUGCCUUCCUCCCGCUCCAGACCCCACCUUGUCCUCCCUCCCUGGUGUCCUCAGACUCAGUCCUGCGGUCUCCUGCAUCAGCUGGUGAUGACGAGGAGCAUGCUGGGGUGAGACUGGGAUUCUGGCUCCUCUUCGAACCCCCUGCAUGCCAGCCCUUCAGGAAACCUGUGAAAAACGUGAUUCCUGCGCCCACCAAGACCCACCAAAACCAUCUCUGGGACUUGGUGCAGGACUCUGAAUUUCUAACAAUGCCCAGUGACUGUCACACUUGAGUUUGAGGACCAGCGGGCCUGAUGAACGCUCGGACCCCUCCAGCUUAGAGUCUGCAUUUGGGCUGUGACGUCCCCCACCUGCCCCCAUAAGAUCUGCUCUGUCCAUGACCCCAUGACCCAGCUGGGCACUCCCCUGAGGCCUGCCUAAGUCCAAGCCUGGGUCAGGAGCACAUUGCAGGGAUAAGCCCAGAACCAGCAAAGAGUAGUUGCCUUUCCAUUCGCCCUCCCUGGCCACGCCUUCUUGCCUUUGG
rnacentral:lncRNA from 1 species